AUCUAACAUCAGUGCCAUGUGUUCCUGAGAAUGGCUGUGGGUUCAGCAGGCUGAGUGAGGCAUUCCAAACAUCCCUCUCCCCACCACACUAUGCAGCUGCUCCCGAGGGACCCCGAGCCAUUCCCAGGUCAGCUGCUUCAAGAAUCACCACCUUGAGGCCUAUGUGUCCCUGUGAUCCUGGGAGCUGUGUUGUCGGGGGUAGUAGCUCCUGGUAGGGUCUCCCAAGGCAAAAUGGUCCCAGGGGAGGGGCCAGACUUGGCAAGAAAGGAGGUGUAGCCCAGAAAAGGGGAAAAUGUGUCCCCCUUCUAGAGCCAGAUCCUGGAGGGGAGCUCGCCAGCGAGUCUCUGAUGGUUGGGCCUUGACCCAUGGGGCUUGGCUGUGGGCUACCCACUUGCAGGUGGUCUGCUAAGUUCCCAGAACCUAUGAAAACUUAUAACUGGCAGUGUGCAAACAAAUCCUCAUGAGCGGAAACCAGAAUGACAUCCUCCCAGCCAAGGUGAAUGUUAAUGGUGACCGUCCUCCAGCUUCAUUUAAAUGUCGCUACUGUAAAUCAUGACUCAUCAGUAUGUAAAGCACACAUGCAGCACAAUACUUCUGGACUGGCCACUAUGCAGAACACACAAGCACAGAUGACCUCCAUCUGCAGCUCCUUGGAAAUGUAAAACAAAUGCAAAUGAUGGAAGAAACUGUAUACGUAUUGUAGAUUAGGCCAGAAUGUCUGCUUUCUAUCAUCUGUAUGUACAUUUACAUACAACACAAGCAGCGCUCCCCUCUAUAUGUGAUGCUGUAUUUUUAAAGGAAUGACUAGCUUUUAAGCCACAGCUUUUUAGAUCAGUUGUCACCUACUGAUCAACCAGUCGUACACUAGCUGUUUUAAAUCUACCUAAAACUCUGUUCAGAAAAUUAUGAGAAUACAUGAAGUUUCCACAUGAAUCAAAGGAAAUCAAAAGUUCAAGGCUUUACAAAUCAAAUUCCAAAUUUAACCCAAGCACUCUGAUUUGCUACUUGUUGUGACUUUAUCAGUAAUUUGUUUGACUUAAUGCACUUUUAGCCUCUAAAAGAUUUGAUUAUCUGGAGAUCCAAAACAACUUAUUCUUGGUGCUGGUCAAAAUGCAAAGUUGCUUGGAAUCAUGCUGCAUGCCUUUCAUCCCUCUUCCAUGUUUGGCUUGAUGUAUACCUACUUCAUCAAUAAGGUUUAUUAAAUUAUUAUUUUAUUCCUGUAACAGUAAUCCAAUGUUUUGCAAGGAAUUUUAGAUGAUUUUGUUUCC